rnacentral:rRNA from 1 species
AGUGGCGCACGGGUGCGUAACGCGUAUGCAACCUACCCUUUACAGGGGGAUAGCUCGGGGAAACUCGAAUUAAUACCCCAUGGUACCAUAAAACCGCAUGGUUUAAUGGUUAAAGAUUUAUCGGUAAAGGAUGGGCAUGCGUCUGAUUAGUUAGAUGGCGGGGUAACGGCCCACCAUGACGAUGAUCAGUAGGGGUUCUGAGAGGAUGAUCCCCCACACUGGUACUGAGACACGGACCAGACUCCUACGGGAGGCAGCAGUAGGGAAUAUUGGUCAAUGGGCGAGAGCCUGAACCAGCCAUGCCGCGUGUAGGAUGACGGCCUUCUGGGUUGUAAACUACUUUUCUACAGGAAGAAAAAGUCCAUGCGUGGACAAUUGACGGUACUGUAGGAAUAAGCACCGGCUAACUCCGUGCCAGCAGCCGCGGUAAUACGGAGGGUGCGAGCGUUGUCCGGAUUUAUUGGGUUUAAAGGGUGCGUAGGCGGCUCUUUAAGUCAGUGGUGAAAGCCCGCAGCUCAACUGCGGAACUGCCAUUGAUACUGGAGAGCUUGAGUACGGUUGAAGUAGGCGGAAUUUAUGGUGUAGCGGUGAAAUGCAUAGAUACCAUAAAGAACACCGAUAGCGUAGGCAGCUUACUAAGCCGUAACUGACGCUGAGGCACGAAAGCAUGGGGAGCGAACAGGAUUAGAUACCCU